GUGAAAUUGUUGUAAAGGGAAACGAUUGAAGUCAGUCGUGCUGGCAUGAAAUCAACUACCGCGCGCUUGAAAGUGUUGGCGGGGUGAGCCUUAAAAACCAUCGCAUCGACAGUUUUCGGGCGUGCAGUGGUGCACGUUUUGUGUCGGCUGGUUAGCAUCAAUUUCGACCGUCAUAAAAAGGCUCGGGGGGAUGUGGCUCCUUCGGGAGUGUUAUAACCCUUAGCGGAAUGUGGUGGACGAGAUUGAGGUUUGCAACGGGGUGACGCUUCGCCUGGCCUCUCGCCGGCGUCUUGGCGGCGACAGCUUGCUGACGUCGUCGGGAACCGCAGACGAAAAGGUUAGAGCGGAGCGAUCCGUUAAGGAUGCUGACGUAAUGGCUUUAAACGAC
rnacentral:rRNA from 1 species